ACACUCUGGUUUCUCUUCAUAUCGUAUAAAUCUUUCGCCUUUUACUAAAGAUUUCCGUGGAGAGAAACAACUCUGAGUUUUCAACUAAUUUUUUGAGGCCUUGCAUCUGCAGGGUC
ensembl:snRNA U5 U5 spliceosomal RNA